CUACGGGAGGCAGCAGUGGGGAAUCUUGCACAAUGGAGGAAACUCUGAUGCAGCGAUGCCGCGUGAGUGAAGAAGGCCCUUGGGUUGUAAAGCUCUUUCGUCGGGGAAGAAAAUGACUGUACCCGAAUAAGAAGGUCCGGCUAACUUCGUGCCAGCAGCCGCGGUAAUACGAAGGGACCUAGCGUAGUUCGGAAUUACUGGGCUUAAAGAGUUCGUAGGUGGUUGAAAAAGUUAGUGGUGAAGUCCCAGAGCUUAACUCUGGAACUGCCAUUAAAACUUUUCAGCUAGAGUAUGAUAGAGGAAAGCAGAAUUUCUAGUGUAGAGGUGAAAUUCGUAGAUAUUAGAAAGAAUACCAAUUGCGAAGGCAGCUUUCUGGAUCAUUACUGACACUGAGGAACGAAAGCAUGGGUAGCGAAGAGGAUUAGAUACCCUCGUAGUCCAUGCCGUAAACGAUGUGUGUUAGACGUUGGAAAUUUAUUUUCAGUGUCGCAGCGAAAGCGAUAAACACACCGCCUGGGGAGUACGACCGCAAGGUUAAAACUCAAAGGAAUUGACGGA
rnacentral:rRNA from 1 species